rnacentral:lncRNA from 10 species
CUCCCGCCCCCGCCCCCGCCCCCAGUAGAAGGGCUGCCCUAUGGCUGCUGCCUCCCACAACCAAAUCAUUUUUCUGGGAACCUGGGGAUCAUCUUGGCUCUGCCUAUCACAGCCAGUGCCUGCACGCCCUGCUCCGGCAUCCCCCUAGUGCCUGAGCACGCCAUCCUCCUGUACCCUACUCCAUUACGAUGUGAUUCCUUCGUGUUAAAACUGUGGGUCCAGUGUAAUCAUACGAGCCUUUAAAAGCAGAAGAGGAAGUAGGAAGAGGAAAGCAGAAUGGAUGCAGCAGAAGAGGGAGUCAGCGAGGUUCCAAGGUGUACCUUGCCCUACUAACUUUGGAUCUGGCCAAUGGAAUAUAAGGAGAUUUGACCUGUGCUGCUGUGAUUAACAGACAUCAGAGGCAUGGUACCAUGAGGACAGAGACCUCAACUGUGUGUUCAUCAUUAAGUCUCCAGAAUUCAGCAAAAUAUAUGGCACAUAGAAGGAAGAAAAACAACAGUAACUAGAUGAAGCAAGGACCACCCUUCUGGACAACAAAGGGAGAGGAAUGAAAGUCUGACCUAGGAAAAGACGGAGUCUCGCUGUGUUGUCCAGGAUGGAGUGCAGUGGUGCUUUCUCAGCUCACUGCAACCUCUGCCUCCCAGUUCAAGCAAUUCUUCUGACUCAGCCUCCUGAGUAGCUGGGAUUACAGGCACCUGCUACCACACCAUGCUAAUUUUUGUAUUUUUAGUAGAGACGGGGUUUCUCCAUGUUGGCCUGGCUGGUCUCGAACUCCUGACCUCAGGUGAUCCACCUGCCUCGGCCUCUCAAAAUGCUAGGAUUACAGGUGUGAGCCACCACACCUGGCCAACUUAUCCUUUUUUUAACAUCUAGUUUUCUGUGAGUGUUUUCUAAUGUGCACUGUAGACGGACAUAGUGGUAUGUGAUUACUAUUCAUAGAUAAAUAAUAAUUUGUUUAUUAUUGUGUAAUAAACAUUGUGUGAUAAAGAAUUUGGCUGACCUUUGUUUCUGGUUCUUGAGAGGUAAUCUUUCAACCCAUGGAGUUUCCCAAGUGAUUGGAGUGUCUUUGUUCUUCAAGGUGGGCCCCAUAGAGCAUAUUUGAUGGUUUAUGCUAAUGUGAUGACUCAGGAUGGAAGCCGGCCAUGUUAGGAAGACCAAAGACAUGAUGAGAUGGUUGGGACUUUGAGCCAGGUGGCAUCA